rnacentral:piRNA from 1 species
UCCUACACUUGUGCUGGCAACU